AUUUGACGGAAAGCUGAAGAUGUGGGAAUUCUGGGAGCCAGUGCAGUGUGGACCUGCUGAGGACAACCGGGAUGUAAGCCAGAAUGGUCAGUCCUUCGGGCCACUAGCACAAGAGUUUGCCUUUCAACCAGCCAAACUUUCAGGAUCUCCUGGAGUUGCAAUGGAACCCUUGUUACCGGAUGACCCACCUCAAGAUUCCCUUUGAUACGGAAGUCACUCAAGAUAAUGCCUUUGCAGUGGAAGAUGUCAGCAAAGAUGAGGUCAUCUGUGUAGCCCUGUGUGACUUCAAAUUCAUGGCCAUACUCUUGCCUUCAUCUCUCCUGUGCCAGGCUGAUGUUCUUGGACCGCCAUGUCCUGUGGUGUGGGCUUACUUCUCUCUUUAGUCCUCAGGGAGUCCGUGCUGUCAUUCUUGCAUAUGGAGGGCAGCACUUAAAAUGCUCAGACUGACAUCUAUGGUCAUGAUGUUUAUUUUGAUAUUUGAGGAAUGCCUGCGCAGGAGAAUUAAUCACUAUUUUAUGUAUCUCAAUUAUUAUUUCUGGAAAAGGCUAGAAGAAUCUUGGUUAAAAAUGAAAAUCCCUUGACCUGUAAGUACCUCUCGCUGCAGAGCCCUCGAUAUGGUCAGGAGGAAAUGAGUGUUGGCAUUGCCUGGUUGUAAUAGCGCAGAUGUAUUGCAGUUGAAGAGUUGUUACUAUAGCAACCCUGUCUGUGUGACUGCAUGUUCAAUUCUUUUCUUCAGUCUCGCAUCUUUCUGUGACCUACAACAAAGCUUGGAUUGUUGCUCCCAAGAUUUAUUCCCCAUUUCAUU
rnacentral:lncRNA from 1 species